UACGAAGGGGGCUAGCGUUGCUCGGAAUUACUGGGCGUAAAGCGCACGUAGGCGGCUCUUUAAGUCGGGGGUGAAAUCCCGGGGCUCAACUCCAGAACUGCCUUCGAUACUGGAAAGCUCGAGUCCGGGAGAGGUGAGUGGAACUGCGAGUGUAGAGGUGAAAUUCGUAGAUAUUCGCAAGAACACCAGUGGCGAAGGCGGCUCACUGGCCCGGUACUGACGCUGAGGCGCGGAAAGCCAGGGGAGCAAACGGGG
rnacentral:rRNA from 1 species